CACAAAAAAUACUCUCUUUCAACAAUUCUUGAGGAUUUUUAUGAAGUUUACUGCACAUAGGUCAUCUACGUUUCUUAAUUUAUAAAUAUUAAAGUUGAGCGUUGGUAGUUAACACCAAUUGGCGUUGUCUGCGAGAAAUAAUGAGUUAAAGCGUUAGUAUUUGGGUGAUUUAUAUGUUCUUAUAGAUUCGAUUACAUGAUUGCUGGUGUUAUUUUUCUUAUGCCUUAUUUAUGUGCUUCUUAGCUCUUUCUUCUUUCUAGAAUUUACCCUUCACUUAUGGAAUAAGUGUGUUAUACCUAGUCGAUUAGCUUUUCAUUUAGGGAUUGAACAUAAUCUGUUUUUGUUACCUGAAAUGUAGAUGUUUAAGUGGAUAUUUUCUAAACUAUGUCUUAAUAUGUAUUUGUGAUUUCAUAAUCAUGUUUUUCUUUGAAAGCCACACGCUUAAUAUAGCUUCUAAUUGAGAAUCUUCACACUUGGUAUGUAUUUUUUUUAGCGGAUCUUAUGUUGAUUAUAAUGUUUGCAGUUACCAUCUGGGUUUUUUGGAUUCAGAGAUAUCACGGUACAUUUGCUUUUUCUGGGUUUAUUUUCCAAUAAACAGGGUAUAUUCCAUGAAGUUCUUAUUAUCGGAUUUUAGGCGUGUGGGAGAACAAAGAAGUCCGUACUUUUAAUCGAAAUCAUUUUUUUUAUUCGUGUUUAUGGAUUUCUCCACGUGUUUAAAUGUUCAUGGGGAAUCUCCAUAAACUUCAAUAUGUCUUCGGGGCUGCGGUCAUAAGUGUUAUUCCAUAAUUUUAAUUAGAGGGAAGUGAGAUGGAGUGUACCAAUAUCAAUCGGGACUUGGCAAAAGAUUUCAAGAAAGAAAUAUCGAACUUGAACGACAGAGCUGCUUCAAUGUCUAUGACCUCUAAUGUGAUCACAUAAGAGGUUCCCUAAUCUUAAGGCACAUGAAUUAUGCAGUUCUGAAUCUCUUGGUUAAUAGAGUUUUAAUUCUGCUACAAGGAUUUCUUCCCUCAUUGUGAGGUCUUGCUUUUGUAAUUUUGCCACUAUUGGAAGUAUUUAAUCAUUGUUUCUUGUAUUAUAUUCUGAAGAUGUUUCUUGCAGUUUCUAUUGUGUUCUUAUGUACUAAUGAUUGCUUCUUACUAUGUAUUCCUUUUUUUUUUUUUUUUUUUUUUUUAAAUAAUAGUGAAUAUGUUCUAAUUUGUUUGUAGAGUACACGUAUGAAUAGGAUUGAAUUAGUAUUGUCUAUCUUUUGAACAUGCUUUUCAAGUUUUGCAAAAAAGAAGCAUUAGAAGAGAAUUUCUACCAAGAAAUAAGGCGUUUUGAUCAAGGCAUGUAUGCAUCUUUGAAUCCGGCCUCAGAGAGGUAACUUUGCCUUUCCAUUCAUUCCUGCAUCUUGAACUAUAUCUCCUUGAGGCCAAAUGGUACACAAGUCUGUUCGUUCUUGUGCUACUCGUCUGAGGAGACUAUUUUACCGGCAGAGCACAUUUCAUCUAUCCUUGCAGCAUCAAUUUCAAGCGUUUCUCUACUGAUCUCACUCAACUGGUCCAUUUGAGGUUCGAGUAACCAAAGGCAGUGAAGCUUCAAGCGAGCCAAGUGUCGAAUCUCCACUCUCGAGGGUAGGCGGUUGGCGUACACGGAGCUAAGUUGGGGAGUGUUCCUCGUUCAAUCUUCUAUCUACUUUUGAAUUGGUCUAUCCAAUAUUCUUAAUUAUUGAUUUAUGCCUUCUCCCGCGAAAUCCCCCAUCAGAUUUUUUAUGAUGUUUGUGUCCUCCAUGACCUGUGGUAACAAAGUCAAAAAUAUGUAAAAGAAUAAGAUAAGGUAAAUUCCCCAAAAAAUAUGUGUUCUUAUUCGCAGAGAUAGCAGCUCAUAAUCCCAUGAAGAACUCCCAUAAGAAGAUCAAUUCUCACUCGAUACAGAGAUCAUGCAAGAAAUUUCCAAGAAAUCCGAUGGAUCUGACGAACCCCUGCCGCAAAUAAAGCGAUAGAAAACCCAAUCCCAAAAAUUCCAUAGAUCCGCAAACAAGAUACUCCCAACACCACAAGAGAAAUGAACUUAAACGAAAAUAAGCGCAAGGAACAACAUAUAAACACGAAAGACACGUAAAAUCUAAAAUUAUUUAAUGUGCACGUAAAAUUAGAAUGACCCGGGCAAUCACCCAACCACGGAGCCAAUCAAAACACCCGAAAACACCCACAAACAAACGUAUGUGCCCAUCAGACCUAAAUUCUCGACAAAGAUAUACAACUUUUGUCAAGAAAUUCGGACGAGCAAAAUUCAUGCAUGGAUUUCUUCACGUCUUAAACUCGAUCCGUGUUUUCCACAGACGGCGCCAGUUGAUGUGCUCGGAUUUUACACCCUUUAAUUCACGAAGAGAGGAAAUCACCUGUGGUAUAUGAUGAAUCGAGAGGAAAAUUGAACAUUGCUAAGGCAGGGGAAAAGAGAAAUUGUAUUAAGUUCAAUAUAGUAUAUGUUACAUAUAUGACUUCAUUCCCUAUUUAUAGACAUAUACAAUGGGGGUAAAUUAGUAAUUACACGGUUGAUAGUG